rnacentral:rRNA from 1 species
UACGAAGGGGGCUAGCGUUGCUCGGAAUUACUGGGCGUAAAGCGCACGUAGGCGGAUUGUUAAGUCGGGGGUGAAAUCCUGGAGCUCAACUCCAGAACUGCCUUCGAUACUGGCGAUCUCGAGUUCGGGAGAGGUGAGUGGAACUGCGAGUGUAGAGGUGAAAUUCGUAGAUAUUCGCAAGAACACCGGUGGCGAAGGCGGCGACCUGGUCCGAUACUGACGCUGAGGCGCGAAAGCGUGGGGAGCAAACAGG